rnacentral:rRNA from 1 species
AUUGAACGCUGGCGGCAGGCCUAACACAUGCAAGUCGAGCGGAGCGGCGGACGGGUGAGUGAUGCCUAGGAAUCUGCCUGGUGGUGGGGGAUGAGGUCCGGAACGGGGCGCUAAUACCGCAUCCUAUCGGCUUAGGCUAGGUCGGAUUAGGUAGUUGGUGGGGUAAAGGCCUACCAAGGCGAAGAUCAGUAACUGGUCUGAGAGGAUGAUCAGGCACACUGGAACUGAGACACGGUCCAGACUCCUACGGGAGGCAGCAGUGGGGAAUAUUGGACAAUGGACGAAAGCCUGACCCAGCCAUGCCGCGUGUGUGAAGAAGGCCUUCGGAUUGUAAAGCACUUUAAGUUGGGAGGCGUUACCAACAGAAUAAGCACCGGCUAACUUCGUGCCAGCAGCCGCGGUAAUUC